UACAGAGACUGCAAGCGUUUAUUCGGAUUCACUGGGCGUAAAGGGUGCGUAGGUGGCUUGGUAAGUUCGAUGUGAAAUCUCCGGGCUUAACCCGGAAAUGGCAUUGAAUACUAUUGAGCUGGAGGUUGGAGGGGGGGGGACUGGAAUUCUCGGUGUAGCAGUGAAAUGCGUAGAUAUCGAGAGGAACACCAGUGGCGAAGGCGAGUCCCUGGACAACACCUGACACUGAGGCACGAAAGCUAGGGGAGCAAACAGG
rnacentral:rRNA from 1 species